UAUCCUAACGCUAAUCUACACAGGUAGAGUAUCCUAACGCUAAUCUACACAGGUAGAGUAUCCUAACGCUAAUCUACCACAGGUAGAGUAUCCUAACGCUAAUCUACCACAGGUAAAAUAUCCUAACGCUAAUCUACCACAGGUAGAGUAUCCUAACGCUAAUCUACCACAGGUAGAGUAUCCUAACGCUAAUCUACCACAGGUAAAAUAUCCUAACGCUAAUCUACACAGGUAAAAUAUCCUAAUGCUAAUCUACACAGGUAGAGUAUCCUAACGCUAAUCUACACAGGUAGAGUAUCCUAACGCUAAUCUACACAGGUAGAGUAUCCUAACGCUAAUCUACCACAGGUAAAAUAUCCUAACGCUAAUCUACACAGGUAGAGUAUCCUAACGCUAAUCUACACAGGUAAAGUAUCCUAACGCUAAUCUACCACAGGUAGAGUAUCCUAACGCUAAUCUACACAGGUAGAGUAUCCUAACGCUAAUCUACCACAGGUAAAAUAUCCUAACGCUAAUCUACACAGGUAGAGUAUCCUAACGCUAAUCUACCGCAGGUAAAAUAUCCUAACGCUAAUCUACCACAGGUAGAGUAUCCUAACACUAAUCUACACAGGUAGAGUAUCCUUACGCUAAUCUACACAGGUAGAGUAUCCUAACGCUAAUCUACACAGGUAGAGUAUCCUAACGCUAAUCUACACAGGUAGAGUAUCCUAACGCUAAUCCACCACAGGUAGAGUAUCAUAAUGCUAAUCCACCACAGGUAGAGUAUCCUAACGCUAAUCCACCACAGGUAAAAUAUCCUAACGCUAAUCCACCACAGGUAGAGUAUCAUAAUGCUAAUCCACCACAGGUAAAAUAUUCUAACGCUAAU